rnacentral:rRNA from 1 species
AGCGAACGCUGGCGGCAUGCUUAACACAUGCAAGUCGCGCGGGUGGUUUCGGCCAUCAGCGGCGGACGGGUGAGUAUCGCGUAGGAAUGUAUCCCGAGGUGGGGGACAACCCUGGGAAACUGGGGCUAAUACCGCAUGGGGCCUGUGGGUCAAAGCCUUAGGGCGCCUUGGGAGCAGCCUGCGUCCGAUUAGGUAGUUGGUGGGGUAAAGGCCUACCAAGCCUGCGAUCGGUAGCUGGUCUGAGAGGACGAUCAGCCACACUGGGACUGAGACACGGCCCAGACUCCGACGGGAGGCAGCAGUGGGGAAUAUUGGACAAUGGGCGCAAGCCUGAUCCAGCAAUGCCGCGUGGGUGAAGAAGGUCUUCGGAUUGUAAAGCCCUUUCGGCGGGGACGAUGAUGACGGUACCCGCAGAAGAAGCCCCGGCUAACUUCGUG